rnacentral:rRNA from 1 species
GACAGGUGGUGCAUGGCUGUCGUCAGCUCGUGUCGUGAGAUGUUGGGUUAAGUCCCGCAACGAGCGCAACCCUUGUCAUUAGUUGCCAUCAUUAAGUUGGGCACUCUAAUGAGACUGCCGGUGACAAACCGGAGGAAGGUGGGGAUGACGUCAAGUCAUCAUGCCCCUUAUGACCUGGGCUACACACGUGCUACAAUGGACGGUACAACGAGAAGCGAACCUGCGAAGGCAAGCGGAUCUCCUAAAGCCGUUCUCAGUUCGGACUGUAGGCUGCAACUCGCCUACACGAAGCUGGAAUCGCUAGUAAUCGCGGAUCAGCACGCCGCGGUGAAUACGUUCCCGGGCCUUGUACACACCGCCCGUCACACCAUGAGAGUCUGUAACACCCAAAGCCGGUGGGAUAACCUUUAUAGGAGUCAGCCGUCUAAGGUAGGACAGAUGAUUAGGGUGAAGUCGUAACAAGGUAGCCGUAGGAGAACCUGCGGCUGGAUCACCUC